GGGCCCGCACAAGCGGUGGAGUAUGUGGUUUAAUUCGAUGCAACGCGAAGAACCUUACCAGGGUUUGACAUCCUGCGAAUUUCUGGGAAACCGGAAAGUGCCUUCGGGAGCGCAGUGACAGGUGGUGCAUGGCUGUCGUCAGCUCGUGUCGUGAGAUGUUGGGUUAAGUCCCGCAACGAGCGCAACCCACGUCUUUAGUUGCCAGCAGUUCGGCUGGGCACUCUAUGGAAACUGCCCGUGAUAAGCGGGAGGAAGGUGUGGAUGACGUCAAGUCCUCAUGGCCCUUACGGGUUGGGCUACACACGUGCUACAAUGGUAGUGACAAUGGGUUAAUCCCAAAAAGCUAUCUCAGUUCGGAUUGUCGUCUGCAACUCGACGGCAUG
rnacentral:rRNA from 1 species